rnacentral:lncRNA from 1 species
AAUAAAAAAGGCUAAAUUACAGAAAAUUACAAGAACUAGGAUCUUUUUUUACUUUUCCUCCAUAACUUUUAAAAAUCUAUAUUUUAUCCCCACAACGUUUCAAAUUGUUGUAUUUCGCCCCCCCUUUCCGUCAGGGUUCCAUCACUGUUCCGCUCAUUUUUUAUAAUUUAUAUCCAAGAUAUCUUUUAAAAUGACAGAAAUAUAUUAAAAAAUUAUUAUUUUUAUUAAAAAUAAGAGUAUUUUGAUAAUUUUGUCCUAUCCGUUAACGUCAUACCCCUUCAAAAAUACUUCUGAAAUUUUAAGGGAGCAAAAUAUAGAUUUUUUUAUAGUGAGCAUUUGUUUUAAGAUUCGCCUAACUACGAGAUAUUUAUCUAGAAUACAUGCAAAUUAGGAUGCGCAUCAAAUCAUCUACGUACCUGAAAAAGUGAAAACACCAGUGAUCUAUGACAAAAACUUGUAAAAUACGUAUUACAAUAAAGAUAAUAAUGUUUUGAAAAUUUUUAGAAAAGUUCUAAAAUAACCCUAUCUAUUCGAUCAAUAGGGCUACCAAUAGUUUAUCCUAAGAAUUUUAGUGCCGUGGCGCAGGGUCACGCCGGAAACUUGCCGGCACGGUGCUUGUCGAGCCGUGCCGAUGCGUGCCAGUUAAAAAAAUUCUUGUGUGCCGACACAUAAUAGCAUGAAAUAUUUAUUUUUUUUAUCAACAAAAUAUUCUAACUAUUUAUUAUGUCUUUUUAUCAUAUCUUUUGAACUUUAUUGAGAAAAUUACUUACUAAUUUAAAAAAUAGAAAGUUUUGAGCUGUGCCAUCAGUACGGGAUCUGUAUCGUGUCGAUAUCUUGUUGGCACAGUACGACACGGUGGAUACGAUCCGUGCCGACGAACACUUAAAACCUUGGUUUAUCCCUAAUUCGAAUUUAAUCUCAAUUUUUGAGGACUAGAGUUCGUCUGGAUUAUUACGAUAGCAGAUUAAUAAUGUUUACUAUCUACGUACUUUCUACCCCUUAGAUCAUACACUAUUUCAUCUGCCGCUACAAAUUCCAAGGCA